CCAGCCCAGGGCCCGUGUUCAUUGUCGGCCGAAGCCCCCAUCCCCGGACCCCUGCUCCGGGCCCCUGUCUGGAGACACCAGAGGAAGGGGCACCACACCCCUCUCCCCACGUCUGGUCCCAGCCCUCUCUGCACACCUGCCCGGGUCUCGAUGGGGCUCUGGGGCAAAAGCUGCUUCACAGCCCUGGGGGAACAGGACACUGGCCCACUCCCACCACCCCGCCCCUCCUGAAGGGCCUGUUUCCUCCCAGGUGCCCUUUUGGCCUUUGUGAGGGAGCAAGGGACAGGCUCAAAGGCUCCGGGGUAUCUGCCUUCUGCUGGGGCUCCUGUGGUGACCUUCUGUACCCAGCUUUCACACUUGCCUCCCCCACCAGCGGGCCUGUGGCCCCCGGGAGGGCAGAGGGGCCUCCCACAAGCUCCCCACCUCACCCUCACCCCGGCCUCUUCCCCACAUUAGGGGUUUCUCAGAAGCUGGUUCUCACACUCCCUGCCACCCUCAGCUAGAGGUAGGAUAUCCCUGAACCCUGGGCUCCCAGCCCUAAAACUCACUGCCUCCCCCAUGGGCCCCCUCUAAGGAGGGUGUGGGGGAGCCCUGAGGGCUGCCUCUCCACCAGUCAGCCACAGAGACCCUCCUCCUUUCAUGAGGAAAAGACCUCCCCCGAACCCCUAAAAAUGUUUACAGUCUCUGCUGGUCCCCUCCGUGUAAAUACCACUACCACCCGUGCGUUAUCCAGCCCGGCCCGGCCCGGACGCUGCCAUCUCUCUUUCUGGGAGUUUAGACAAUGUUUCCCUUGGAGUUUUUCUCUCUCUUGAUUUCUCCCUUUGCUUUGGGGGUAACUGGGUAUUUGGGAGGAGGGGUGUGGGGAGGGUUACAGGGGUUUAUUACCUGAUCAUUUUCUUUAGGAAGAGGUUUUAGGGGAAAGAAACGGGUGGGGGUGGGAGUGGUAAGGGGAGAUUGGGGAGUCCGUUUCAGACACUUCUCUAUGCUUAACUUAUUUAUUUAUUGCAUUUUACUUUUAAAGAGUUGGUCUUUUCUGUCUAAAUAAAGAAAAAAGUUUAAAAGCA